UACGUAAGGACGAGCGUUGUCCGGAAUCAUUGGGCGAUAAAGAGCGUGUGAUGGCGGCCACUUAAGUCCUGCGAUCGGAAAUCUUGCGGCUGACAACCGCAAGCGGUCGUGGGAAACUGGGUGGCUAGAGUGCGGGAGAGGAGGAGUGGAAUUCCUGGUGUAGCGGUGGAAUGCGCAGAUAUCAGGAAGAACAACCCGUGGCGAAGGCGGCGCUCCUGGAACGCAACUGACGCUGAGACGCGAAAGCGUGGGGGAGCAAACAGG
rnacentral:rRNA from 1 species